AGCCUGGCUCCAUCUUCUUUGCACCAUUCCUUCAGACUGGAUCAGAGGCAAGAGAACAACAGACAAGUCAACACUAGUACACCUCAGACAAUUAAACAAGGAGAAAGCACCCCCACGACCAGACAAAAGCAAAACGAACACAUGCACAGGAGAAGAAGACAGUGCGACGGCAGACUUUACAGACAACUGAGCUGCGAGUGACAGUAGCAACCUCACUUGGACAGAGGAACAAGAGACCACAAAGUCAGACGUUGUUGACAUUGCGAUCAAACAAUAGCAGGCCACUGGCAGAGUCAAGGAAUCCAUAGAAGAAACCAGCAGUUUCUGAUAAUAUUCAUCAUCCUUUUGUUCUGGAUGUUUUCCCCAUUUAAGCACAAGCCCUCUCAAUACAAAAUGAUGGAUGAAGGAGAAAUGAUUGGGAUUCAGGGCUACCAUCUUAAAUUCUUGGGGCUAGUGCCUCCCUCCCUUAUUCCUCUCAAUAAAAAUCUCUCUCUUCCCACUGCAGCCGGCAGGGCUACUGCUGACUGCUGCCCAGCAUGCGCAAAAGCAAUGCAGUCUGGGUGAAUUUGCUUUUCUCCCCCAGCAGAACAUGACUGCUACAGGAAUCAGAUACCACUGUGCCAUCUAGGUACCCACGGGCUUUAUCAACUCCUUCAGGCAACUCUGACUGGAAGCGAAGGAGAUCUUCGGCUGUGGAAGUUGGUUUCAGACACUUGCCAGCUACCUCGAAACCCACACCUAAGCUGCGACCAGGGGAAGCAAAGGCAAAACCAUGUUAGAGCUUCCUCGUACUUUGAUUCAACCCAUUAUUGGGACGUUUGAUACCGUAGAUGAGUUUGGCUUCAGGCCCACGCCUCUCUGUGUUCCUCAAGCCAAGCCCAACCUGCUGCUGAAGUGCUAUUUCAGCUUGGAGCAGUAGCAGAAGGAGAUAGGUGGCUGUUCACGUGCAGGAAGAGUGGGACUGUUAACAGGACCCUCUCACUGCACUGUCAGUGUUUCUUAGGGUGGUAUUAACCAGGUUCCCAGGCUCUCACCCUCUAAGAAGAGGGGGAGAGUAGCUCCUUUCCUCCCAGGCAAGGGGGGGGGGUCGUGCUUAUGCAGCAGAGGGGUAUGAUCAGGGUGCAAGUCAGAUCUAACACCAUUCAGCUCGAUACGCUUCUCCCCACAUACCAGGAGGGACUCCUCUCUAGCAUUAGUGAAGAAUAACAGCACUGACAUCAGCAAGGUACCACCAGUAUAAAAGUGGCGUAAACCAGCCGGCACCAGCCCUGUUAAAUGGACUAAUGCCUUAUAGUACUGUUCCCCUGGUACUAAGAUUUCUUGGAUUGCUUAAGGCAGGUUUCAGGGUAUAGCAAUGCAAACGACAAAUCAGUUAUAUAUUCCCAGGCCUUCCUUCCCCCCCCAGCAACUCCCCAAAACAUGAACCAAAGCAAAAGAGACACUGUGCCUUCACGACCAGCUGGCAGCAGUCCCCAUCCAAACCUGUGACCAGCCAAGCCAUUCUAGCAACAGAAGGAACAGAGCACAGCAAAACCAAGCCAAAGGACCAAAGAAACGGGGGACUUGAGCUCUUGGAUGAGAAACUCUGCAUCUUCUUCAUGUUGUCCCACCUCUGUACCCUUGGCCAACAUUCCCCAUAGGGUAGCUGGAUGUGCAGGACAGCCGUGAAUGCCAGGGAA